GCUACGGUCACCUGACCGUGAUCGGGAGACGCAGGGGAGACGCCUUCUCCAGACACAGUUCUGUAGCAGCCGGCAGUUCCUCCACGCACCCACUGUACUCAGUGCUGUAUCAGCCAGCAGCCCCUCCACCCCCAAUGGACUCGGCAACAGAAAGCUGAGGUCAGGGUCCAAUUCACACUGGACCGACUGAUAAGCGACGCCCCCACGAAGCAUGGAGGGAUCACGCAUUUUGCAGAGGCAGGACUGCCGGCAGGGCCUUCUGCAGCUAUCAGAUGCAUUGAUGUACACCUGACCUGGACGGUGGACGAUCUCGAAGUCGUACGCGGCAAGCUUCUCGAGCCAUCGAGCUAAUUGUCUUUCAUUUUUGUCAACCAGCGCAGGCUGCUGUGAUCAGUGCGCACUUUGAAAGGACGUCCAAGGAGAUACUGGCGAAAAUGGCACGUGAAAUCAACAAUGGACAGUAGUUUCCGUCUCGUGGUACAGUAGUUCCAUUCAGUUUUUGUCAUCUUGGGACUUCCAUAUGCCAGCACCCUGCGCUAUGACCUGCUGCAUUUGUGAGAGUACAGCGCCGAUCCCUGUAUCACUUGCAUCAGUGUCCCGCACCAUGACCCCUUGGUCAAGUGGAUAGCCGAGGACAGGGGCGAGAGAGGCGUCUCCCAAAGGUCUCCACAACUCCCUGGCGAUCCUGCACGUCUACCGGAGAUUCCUGGAAACGUUGCAGAGACAUCUCAGCAACCUGGACUUUUCAACUUUUGUUGACACGCCAAGCCAACUUCCACCAGCAGCUGCCACCCAGAGGCUCCAAUUCACUCCCCCAAAAAUGAAAGCAUCAAACUGGAGCAUCUGCAUAACUCACAAUGGGAAAGGUGCACUCUGCUGGAAUAUUCAUGUUUUUAAACUUUGUCAGCUUUGUUGUAGAAGUUGGAAACGUUGAAAGAAAACUCACAAGGUCAUGUUUGGGGCUUUUAAUGAGGCAUAUGAGCGAAAGUAGUACUAUCUGCAUUGCAAAACGACACAAUGUCAUGUUAUUUACUGACUUAAUGGCUUUUGUGUCAUAUCUAGACAAGAAUAGACUUGAUUAGUGAUGCACAUGGAAUGAACUCUUCUCAAUCACUAAACGUGAUUAUUAAGUGCAAUCAGAGCACCAUGCUAAUCAAUGCCAUUAGCAUCCAAGCAUAACACUGACGAACACUUGCACCUGCUCGUGAGAGUGUGCCAACUCUGCAGGGAAUUAUUUUUAUUGAUCAACCAAUCGGAUGGAUCGUCAGCAUUAAAAAGUAAGAAAAGUCCUUGACUGCUGCUUCACAAUGAAUGAAGGUUAAAAAGAUUUUUCAUAAAGAUUGCUUCCACCGAUCAAAGCCUUCACAUUAUGUUUUAAUUGACCAGAAAAUGUACGAUCAAUGAUUCCCUCUGAGGAGAAAACUCAGUUUACAAAAAUAUGUAUACUGUAUUUAAUCUGAGGGAUGGGCACAUCACUCCCCUAUGCACGGUGCAUAGUUUGUUUGACAAAGUGGGACUGUAAUGUUUAACAGUACCUUUUUGUGGUAUUCAUAAAAAAAUAUUAUUAUUAUUAUUGCUAUUACUAGAAGUAUUUGUAGUAGUAGCAUAAAUAAUUAUUGUUGUUAUUAUUAUUGCUAUGAUUAUCCUUAUUCUUGUUAUUGUUGAUAUUAUUAUAGUAGUGGUUGCUACUAUCAUCAAUAUCAUUAGUUUUUUUGUCAUCAAGUGUUGUUUUCAUGAGUAUUGUGAUCACUAUUGUUGUUUUUAUCAUUAUCGCUGUUGUCAUCGUCAUUGUUAGUCAUUGACAUUGUUAUUGUCAUUGCUGUUAUUGUUCUUAUUUAUGUUGAUGUUAUUAUUGUCGUUGGUGUUGUUAUUACUGUUGUCAUUAAGUUUUUAAUGUCAUUAUUAUGUUAUUAUUAUUAUGAUUGCCUUUGUCAAAUGAUAAGAAAUAACAAGAUAAUAAUGACACUACAAUAAUAAAAAUACACACUUCUGUAUGAUGAAUAUUCAA